rnacentral:tRNA from 1 species
ACCCAAAUAGUUUAAGAAAAUGUUAAUUUGUGGUGUUAAAGAUGUAAAGUAGUGUUACUUUGGGUA